rnacentral:rRNA from 1 species
GACGAACGCUGGCGGCGUGCUUAACACAUGCAAGUCGAACGGAAAGGCCCUGCUUUUGUGGGGUGCUCGAGUGGCGAACGGGUGAGUAACACGUGAGUAACCUGCCCUUGACUUUGGGAUAACUUCAGGAAACUGGGGCUAAUACCGGAUAGGAGCUCCUGCUGCAUGGUGGGGGUUGGAAAGUUUCGGCGGUUGGGGAUGGACUCGCGGCUUAUCAGCUUGUUGGUGGGGUAGUGGCUUACCAAGGCUUUGACGGGUAGCCGGCCUGAGAGGGUGACCGGCCACAUUGGGACUGAGAUAGGGCGCAGACUCCUACGGGAGGCAGCAGUGGGGAAUAUUGCACAAUGGGCGGGAGCCUGAUGCAGCAACGCCGCGUGCGGGAUGACGGCCUUCGGGUUGUAAACCGCUUUCGCCUGUGACGAAGCGUGAGUGACGGUAAUGGGUAAAGAAGCACCGGCUAACUACGUG